rnacentral:rRNA from 1 species
UACAGAGGGGGCAAGCGUUGUUCGGAAUUACUGGGCGCAAAGGGCGCGUAGGCGGCCUGUUAAGUCGAACGUGAAAUCCCCGGGCUCAACCCGGGAACUGCGUCCGAUACUGGCAGGCUUGAAUUCGGGAGAGGGAUGUGGAAUUCCAGGUGUAGCGGUGAAAUGCGUAGAUAUCUGGAGGAACACCGGUGGCGAAGGCGGCAUCCUGGACCGAUAUUGACGCUGAUGCGCGAAAGCCAGGGGAGCAAACAGG